CAAGUCGAACGCGAAAGUCCCCUUCGGGGGGCGAGUAGAGUGGCGCACGGGUGAGUAACACGUAGGUAAUCUACCUUUGGAUUGGGAAUAACAACCGGAAACGGUUGCUAAUACCGAAUAAUGCAGCGGCACCUAAUGGUGACAGUUGUUAAAGCGGGGGAUCGCAAGACCUCGCGUCUGAAGAGGAGCCUGCGGCAGAUUAGCUAGUUGGUAAGGUAACGGCUUACCAAGGCGAUGAUCUGUAGCCGGCCUGAGAGGGCGGUCGGCCACACUGACACUGACAUACGGGUCAGACUCCUACGGGAGGCAGCAGUCGGGAAUUUUGGGCAAUGGGCGAAAGCCUGACCCAGCAACGCCGCGUGAAGGAUGAAAUCCCUCGGGAUGUAAACUUCGCAAGAACGGGAAGAAUAAGUAAGAGUUAAUAUCUCUUACGAUGACGGUACUGUUUGUAAGCUCCGGCUAACUCCGUGCCAGCAGCCGCGGUAAUACGGGGGGAGCAAGCGUUGUUCGGAUUUACUGGGCGUAAAGGGCGCGUAGGCGGCCACCGCAAGUCGACUGUGAAAUCUCCGGGCUUAACCCGGAAAGGUCAGCCGAUACUGCGGGGCUAGAGUGCAGAAGGGGCAACUGGAAUUCUCGGUGUAGCGGUGAAAUGCGUAGAUAUCGAGAGGAACACCUGCGGCGAAGGCGGGUUGCUGGGCUGACACUGACGCUGAGGCGCGAAAGCUAGGGGAGCGAACGGGAUUAGAUACCCCGGUAGUCCUAGCCUUAAACGAUGAAUGCUUGGUGUCUGGGGUUUUAUA
rnacentral:rRNA from 1 species